AUUCUGAGCAAUUACUCAAAUUGUUUCACAGUGUGUUCUAUUUAUUUGUAUGAGCAUGGUUAAUAUGCAAACUGGAUCAUCCCUUGGAAACCUGAAAGUGAAUUUUGUGAUAAUACAAGGAAUCCUAGGGUAAUCAUACCAGAUGUCUUCUGCAUGCCUUAAUUUACAAAUGCCAACAAUAAAAAGGAGGAAGAAGGAGCCAGGAAGAUUGGAUGCAGUAGCCACCAAGGAACCCUGGUGAUGGCAUCUGCUUGGCUUCUAGGGAGGCCUCAGGAAGUUUACAAUCAUGGUGAAAAGUGAAGCUGGAGCAGGCACUUCACAUGGUGAAAGCAGGAGCAAGACACAGUGAAAUGGUACAAGUGCCAAACACUUUAAAAUGACCAGAUCUUACAAGAACUCACUAUCACGAAGACAGCACCAAGCCGUGAGGGAUCUGCCCCCAUGAUCUGAACACCUCCCAUUGGGCCCCACCUACAGCACUGGGGAUUAGAGUUCAACAUGAAAUUUGGGCAGGGACAAAUAUCCAAACUAUCCCACCAUCUGAAACACAUGGAGACUAUAUCAGUCAGGGUUGGGUCUGGAAAACAGAAGCCGCACUAGGAUAUACUGAGUAAGAGAAAUGUAACUCUAAGAAUUAAAGACUUACACAACCAUAGAGGCUGGGGGAGUAAAAGUUAGGAAGGCUGUUUUAAGGAAAAAUGAAUGCACAAGGAUCCCUCAACAAAAACUGCCAGUGAUGGUCUUAGUUUCCUGAAGCACAGAAAUGAACAAUUCUCAGAUAGAAGAAUUGAACCAAUUUUCAGCCAGAACCACUGAAAACAAUAAUUGAUGAUCCCAUAUGCCAGAAAUAUUGAAACAAAUAAUUUUCCUGAGGAAGCUUAGCAGCUUCUUGCAAACUCCGUAUCUAUUGUUGCCAGUGUUCCAACCUGCAGCAGCCAGGUUUUUCUUCUCUUUCGUCUUCCAAAUUUUAUGCAAAGCCCACUCAUUGCUGAAAUCCAACCAUAUCCUUCUGGUAAUGGAGUCUGAAAAAUGUAGUUUCCAUGCUUUAUGCCCUUCAGACACAGAACAAAGCUUAGCAGAGAGGGGAUAAUAGUGAGUAUCAUCAGAGAAUAUUCUACAAGGAGACACAUUGACUCUGCUCAUAUAGUGCAUGCCAAUUACAAUAUACCACUACUUGCAAUUUUUCUAAUUUGUGUCCACAGUGCAAAAUAUACUUCAUGUAGUGAAUACUGCAGUGCUCUGCCCAGAUCCUUCAUCGGAUUUGAUGUACUAGUGCACGGUUAUCAGCCUCACCGGCAAUUGCCCUCAGCCAUAGAUUCUUCCCUGUCCAAGUUUAACCCUCCUUCAUAGGGAGCUUUCUAUAUCUAACUACCUGAUGGAGAGAUACAAAGACUCAGUGACCCUGCCUCAACCUGUGAUACUUUGGCCAUCUGUGCAGGAUUUUCUGAGGCCAAAGUUUCUAUCACAGUGUGAGUCAGCUUCUCCCUCUGCCCAACUCUGCCUUCCUCACAUCCUAGAGGUGUAUCUUCCUUGAGCACUCCCAGCUACACAUUCUGCUUCCAGCUUUUUAUCCAAGUCUCUUUCUAGCAAACCCAACCUAAUGUAUGUGCUACAAACUUUAACUGGAUUGCAAAAAAUGUUUGUCAUGUUGAAAAAAAUAGAAGUACAAUUAUAAAAGUAAGAGUAUAUAAUUGGAAAGGUAAUUUAGUAAAUGCAUACUGAUGGCACAAAAGUGAUUAUAUAUCCAAAUGGAAGUAAUUCCAUGCAUAUUGCUAAAAUUGCUUUCAAUAAACUGUAAGUACCUAGGAAUUUUUUGGAGGAGCUAUUUUUAGGUAACUUUUCUUUUUCUAGUCAGUGUAAGUUGCUCACUAUAAGUAUUUACAACUCGUUUCUGAGAAAUUGUUAGCAUGUUUGCUACAGCUUCUUAUAGCUCUACCAAUUUAGUGCUCAGUCAUAUAUGUGUGUGUGUGUAUAUAUGUAUAUAUAGUGUAUACACAUAUAUACACACACACGUAUAUCUUAUUACAUGGAAAGGUUUCCAUAAGUUAUCCAUAACCUACAAAUCUACAUUGAGAUGUGUUGUCAAAUUCACCAAUGUUAAAGUAGCAGCCAGUUAUCAAGCAUUUUGUUAGGUGGAAAUAAAUAUAUGUAUAUCCUGGUUUGCUUGGCACAGUCCAAAUAAGAGUCAAUUAGUAACUGUUAAUUAUUUUCGUGCCUCCCUCUUUAUUCUGAUGUCCAUCCUGGUUUGAAAGAUGUAUCAUAUUUUCUCUCUGAAUAGAUGGCAUAAUUUUUAUUCUCUGAGAAUUGAUUGGGAAGGCUCGACACAACAAAUACUGAGUACACUCAUUAGUGUGGAUUUUUAAAUUAUGGUCCUUACCCUGAAGAAACUCACCCAACAACAGCACUCACUCUCCCCACACGCCAUACAUGUAAAAAUCAUGCCAACAAUAUGUGAGUUAAGUUUUCUUGUUAUGUCUCCUAUUUAAGUGUCUUUGGUUCCAAAAAAAGAAACUAAG
rnacentral:lncRNA from 1 species